rnacentral:rRNA from 1 species
UGGGGAAUUUUGGACAAUGGGCGAAAGCCUGAUCCAGCAAUGCCGCGUGUGUGAAGAAGGCCUUCGGGUUGUAAAGCACUUUUGUCCGGAAAGAAAUGGCUCUGGUUUAUACCUGGGGUCGAUGACGGUACCGGAAGAAUAAGGACCGGCUAACUACGUGCCAGCAGCCGCGGUAAUACGUAGGGUCCAAGCGUUAAUCGGAAUUACUGGGCGUAAAGCGUGCGCAGGCGGUUGUGCAAGACCGAUGUGAAAUCCCCGAGCGUAACUUGAGAGUUGCAUUGGUGACUGCACGGCUAGAGUGUGUCAGAGGGGGGUAGAAUUCCACGUGUAGCAGUGAAAUGCGUAGAGAUGUGGAGGAAUACCGAUGGCGAAGGCAGCCCCCUGGGAUAACACUGACGCUCAUGCACGAAAGCGUGGGGAGCAAACAGG